CUAUUUGGUGUUUCUUGACCGAACUUGCAAGCAGUCAACAACCCGGGGAACAAGACGGGAGGUAGCGUGGGCUUGGGUUUGAGGGUGGGGGUUGGGUUUUAGUCUAUUCGUUUCGUCGCGGUGGAGCGCUCGCGGUACGACAGGGGCCGCUGGUGGCGGUGCCGGCGGCGGAAGGAGAGGCGCCGCGGACGGAGGAGUAGGAGAUGGGUGGCGUCCGCAUCGGCAGCGCGACGAUAGAGGCGGAGGGAGAGCAGGCUUCUUGGCGACGAGUAUGCACGCCGCUCCCCGCUCCUACCCGACGGAUCCGGCGGCCGCACCUACUACGCCGUCCGACCCGCCAUGUACCGCAGCAUGGUCCGCGACAGGUUCGCGGUGGGAAGCAAGGCCCUCGCCAGCCUCUGGUGGCUGGAGUAGCAGCUUUAGUGCGAUGUCGGCACCGUGCGGAAGCGUGGGCUGCCGCAGUAGGAUAAGAGCCUGUAUGAGUGCGGCGACGGCCGGUAGCCCCACGGUAAGCUAUAGAGCCUUAGGUUCCCCGGCCACUAGGUCAGCGGGCACGCCUGACUCCUUGUCCAGUCCCUCGAGCAAGGGUAUCUAGAGCUAUUCGAGGUCAAGCAACCCCUCAGCGAGUUCUAAGACGCGUUGCUCUAACUACCUUUUCGACGAAACGAUCCUAAGCACCCCCGGGGUACCUGUUAACGUUGAAUGCAACAACUUCCUCCCUACUGGUUGUGAAUGUGUUUAUAUUUCGCGUACACGGUGUGUCGUGGUUUACAGAACUCCCCGGAAGAGAGAGUGGAGCGUCUUCGAUAUAGACUGAUAUAGUAAAUGGUUCAUUUGAGACCACGAGUCACAUAUGUCUAUAAACUAAGUACCCCACCCGUUGAAGGUGGAGUACACACCCUCGUUACCAGUUUUGGUAUAUAGUCUGUUUAACACCGAUUCUAAUUCUGUCUUACGGGAGUGUAUGGUGAACACGACAUAUAUUUACCUUUACCUCCGAACGAGCUCGCGUACUUCCUGUAUCCUCAACUACAAUAACCUGAACUGACCUGUCACCUAUACCGUCUACCUUCCUCCGCGCAACCACUACCUUAAUCACAUGUUCCCUUACACCUGGGUCGUAUAGAUAAAAGGGGUAAUGGUCAUAACUGACUACUUUAAGUAUCCCAACACUUUCGUCGACCAGGCUUUCCAGUAUAUGAAUUGAACCCGGUACCACAAGAAGUUUUUUGUGGUCUUCUUCGACAUCGUGUAAAGAAACUACAGUGUUCCUCGAACUCUAUACUGUGGGAAAAGGUCCCAGUAGAAUGACUUCUUAACGUUGGACAACGAACUACUACCGGUCAUCGGAACGGUAUAAAAAAAACCAGAAUGACAAGAGUCGAGUUGUGGAAGAUGUAAUAAUCUCAAGUAAGGGAAAACGACCUCGACAAGGAACAUCUCUGUGGUACCGAUUUAGUUGAGUUAAAACAAGUAAUACGUAGACACAUAAAGUCAGUAAGUAGAUGAGUCGUCUCUUUUCCGCACGGAGGACGAAAAUCUUCCCUCGACGUCAAAUAAGUUCACCCAACAAGUUGGGAAAGACAAAAUCAAGGAACGUAACCAAUAGUAAGGUCAAAUCUUGCUUGUACAACGUCCAUAACGUCAGAAUAUGAAACAGAAGAAAACGCAUACAAUUACUCGUUGACUCGUAGUACAAAAUCCACGGUACUAGACCAGACCAUGGUUAUAAAAUCCACGGUCAACCCACGGUACUGGAUGGUCCGACGUCACGAAAUUUAACUUAGUUACGGCGGGUAGAGCCUUUAAUAAACAACGUCACCCUCCAAUCGGGUACACGAGGACUGGACGACAGAUGAUGAUCCAAAAUUGUAUAAGACAUAACGAGCAACACCAGUUUGAGAGACCCACUUUUACCUACCACAUCGGUGUUUACAAAUGGUGGGAAGUCUUUCUUUUUUGAAACCGUGAACGGAAUAAUUAUUUGCGCCGUAGCUUAACUCCAGGAGACAAAAGAAUUGAGGUGAACGAGUAGACAAUAAACUUGCUGUAACAAAGGAUACGUAAGCUAGUAUAUAUAGGGAAAUU
rnacentral:rRNA from 1 species